GGAGAAAUCUAAACGGCCGCGGAAUUUUAACCGUGCUAAGGUAGCAUAAUCAUUUGUUCUUUAAUUAAGGACUUGUAUGAAUGGUUAAACGAAAUAAAGCUAUCUAUAAAGUAUUAAAUAAAAAUUAUUUUUAAAGUGAAAAAUCUUUAAUACAGUAAAAAGACAAAAAGACCCUAUAGAGUUUUAUUCAUCACUAUAAAUAAAUAUAAAUGAAUUUAGUUGGGGCAACUAACGAAAAAAGAAAUUUCUUUUUAUUAGCUAAAAAUAUAAUCAUUAAUUUAAUAAUAUAAAAUAAAUUACCUUAGGGAUAACAGCGUAACUUUUUUUGAGAGUCCAAAUCGAAAAAAAAAAUUAC
rnacentral:rRNA from 1 species